CCCUCCCCUUGGCCCUUCCUGCCUUUUUCUGACUAAAAGUCUCAGUUUGAUCUUACCAUACUGAUGAUUUGGAAUUUCCAGGGUGAAACUUGAAAAUAAGGUGAUUUUACUUUUUAGUAAGCUAGUAUAAGGUAAGCAAUCGGAGGUCCUAGCCAUGAAAAAGCCACUUUUAAGAAAACAAUGGAGGCUCAUAUGAGUAGAAGCCUAAUGCAUUGUGGACGUCUCUACCAAUAGAUUCCUAAUUCCUAAACUUAAUGUGCUCCAAAGCAGGAUAGUCCUAGAGUAAUGUACGGAAAUUGAGGCUCUCUUAGUAAUCUGCCAGAAGCUGAACAUGGUGAGAUUAUCCCCUAGCUGUGCUAGUUCCAUCAUACCAAAAUGUUGAUAUGAUUUCUAAAUUUUACCUUGGGUCUGCCACCGAAUUUGCCGUAAGUAUCUCAUGUAUGCUCAGCAACCAUCAAUGUGGGAUUAUUCCCCUCAAUUGCUGAGCAUCUCACUAGUCACUAGGCAAUGUGUAUAAUGGACUUUUUCCCCUUUGAAAUCCUGUUAUUUCCUUUAUUUCAUAAGUAUGGG
rnacentral:misc_RNA from 1 species